UUCCGUUGUUAUCAAAUAGUCUUUUUGUCGCUCUUGAAUUUUUCUGGUUUUUGAUAGAAAAAAUGAUUUUUCUGUGUACUAUUUGAGUUUAUUCUGUUCCUUAAGGUCUGUUUAAUCUCCUGAAAAUGAGUGUUAUUAAUAAUACACACCCAGCACAUAAAGACCACCUAAAAGAAGUGGCCUGGGUCACCUGUUAUAUAAUUCGGAUGUUUGGCUAUCAUUCUGGUUUACGAGAGAUUGGUUUUACAUUAUCUGGUGAAAGAUUUUCCACAAUAAAUCAAUGGAUGUAUACAGUUGCAGGGUAGUACAUUUAUCCUUUUCAUGAAUAUUAUCAACAAUCCAUUAUGAUUUUUGUAGAAGCAUAUUUAAAAUUUUAUUUCGUUUGGGUAAAUAUAUUUUUACCGAUCUUUAAUGUUCAUCAGUGGAUUUUAUCAUUUUUACAUUUAAUUAAGUUAUUAAUUAGUUACGAUAUUAUGGUUUGUUAUUAUCAUAGACAAAUUCAGUCUGUUUAUUUUUCUUUUGGGCCAAUUUUUGCCUUUUGGUCACUUCUCUUUUUUUGGUAGAAAAUUUUACUUCAUGUUGUUUUGGGUUUACUUUCUUAUAUUUUUGAUUGUGGGAAUAAUAUCAUUUAUCAAUCCUAUUGAAUAUCCCAUUGACUGUAUUUCUCUAGAUUUUAUUUGAUUGGUAAAAUAUACCACCUAGUUAGAAUUUAUGUUCAUGUUGUUAUUAGUUAACUUUUAUUUCUUUAUAAUAGCUUGAUUCCCAUAUAUUCGGCAUUGUAGGUAUACCAUCAUUCAUCAAUUCCAUAAAAUAUUCCUUUGACUGUAUUUUUAUAAGCUUUCUUUUAUUUGUAUUAUUUUUCUUAUGGUGUCGUUCUUCUAAUACUCCUUUUUGAUUGUUUAAUUUCUUGUAUAGAAUUUUAGUUUGAACGGAUUCAUUUUCAUGUCAUUUACAUAUUUCAGAUCAUAUGCCCUGAAUGGCAAUUUUAAAUAUGCAAUAACAUAUUUAAAAAUCCUCAGCUUGUCACCGGCUUUUCUAAAAAUUUUCCAAAGAAUUUUCCUGAGUAACAUCGACUCCAGAGCAUCAUAACUAGCCUCCCCUAAGAGGAGGAGACCCGGGUCACCCCCUAACCCUGAUGUUCGGCCAU